rnacentral:rRNA from 1 species
GACAGAGGGUGCAAACGUUGUUCGGAAUUACUGGGCGUAAAGCGCGUGUAGGCGGCUCGGAAAGUCGGAUGUGAAAGCCCUGGGCUUAACCUAGGAAGUGCAUUCGAAACUCCCGAGCUUGAGUUCUGGAGAGGAAGGCGGAAUUCUCGGUGUAGAGGUGAAAUUCGUAGGUAUCGAGAGGAACACCGGUGGCGAAGGCGGCCUUCUGGACAGUGACUGACGCUGAGACGCGAAAGCGUGGGGAGCAAACAGG